UUGAGACAAGGUUUCAUUCACCCAGGCUUGAGGCUUGAGUGCAGUGGCAUGAUCUCAGCUUACUGCAGCCUCAACCUCCUGGACUCAGGUGAGAGGAACUACAGGUACAUGCCACCAUGCCUGGCUAGUUUUCAUAUUUUCUGUAGAGACAGGGUUUCACCAUGUUGCCCAGCCUGAUCUUCAACUCCUGCCUGCCUCGGCCUCCCAAAGUGCUAAGAUUACAGGUGUGAGCCGCCAUGCCUGGCCUGGAGGAUAUUUCUGAAACGGGUCACUUACACAGCCAUUGGCAGGCCUUGGUUCCUUACUUGGUGGGCUUCCCUGUAAGGCUGCUUGAGUGUUCUCUUGACAUGACAGCUGGCUUCCUCCAGAAGUGAGUAAUUUGAGAAGAGGCAAGGUGGGGGGCCAUAAUGCCUUUUAUGACCUAGUCUUAGAAAAUGACAACACUUUCAUCUCCACAAUGUCCUACUGGCUACACAGGUAAAACCCUAUUCAAUGCAGGAAGGGACAAGAAAGUUGUGAAUACCAGGAGAUAAGAAUCACUGGGGGCCAUUUUGGAGCCUAGCUGACACAAUGAGUAAACUUUCACUACAUAUAAAUAAGAAAGUGACAGAAAAAUAAUUUUGCUCCUGAGAAAAAUUUUCUAAUGAAUACACAUAUAUUUGUUCAAAUUCUCAAGUUAUUUGACUCUGCCAAAUUUUCCUCUUUCUUUAUAGGUCACGUUAUCAUACUCCAGAGAUUGGAAAGGGGAGAUAUUUAUUUAGUAAGUUGGAGACUAUAGAUUAAUUUCUUACCGACCACCAUCAGUGUGAACUCAAAACCUUUUUUCACUGAUUUUCGGUGAACUUGAUUGGGGAGGUUUGCAAAUCCAACAUAGCCAGGUGUUUCUGGAUUUAUAAACUGAGUUGGCUGUUGCUAAAUAAGAUUAAAAAACAAACAAACUAAUAAACACCUUAGUAGUUGCUUUUAAGAUAUAAUCAGUUAGACAUGAAACAAACAUAGGUUAUCAGUUUUCACAAAUUUUUUAAAAAGUAUAAACACUUCCAGAAGGUCAUACUUCUAUCAGAAAACCAGUAGUAUUCAACUAGGAGCAUUAAAAAAAGAAAAACUUAUCUAGUAUAACUCCUUAGUUGUAUGCGAC
rnacentral:lncRNA from 1 species